rnacentral:tRNA from 1 species
GCCUGGCUAGCUCAAUCGGUAGAGCGUGAGACUCUUAUUCAGAGGUCAUCUCAAGGCUGUGGGUUCAAGCCCCACGUCGGGCU